GGCUACCCCGGCUACUCCUGCUCAGCAUGGCUGCUUUGGCGACUCUUCUCUUCAGUGAGUGGGUAUAGAUAGGGACCGUGGACUCGGGGGCCUGUUGGGGACGGGCACAGGACCCCUGAUCCGGCUGCGCGGCCUCUCCCCCAACUCUGCUCUGUUCUCCCAGCAGGUGUCCGGAGGCUGCACUGCAGCGCAGCCGCUUGGGCGGGCGGCCAGUGGCGACUACAGUGAGUGCUGGGAUGAGGGGACCUGGGGGACCAGAAGCUGGGCUAGGUCCUCACAGAUCUGUUUUUCUCCACACAGGCAGGGACUGGCUGCCAACCCCUCCGGCUACGGGCCCCUUACAGAGCUCCCAGACUGGUCAUAUGCGGGUAAGCGCUGAUCUGACAGUUAACUCCACAGGGGAGAUUUUCACCCAGAGGGAACGCCCCUGGACAGGGAGCUGGGGGUAUCAAGGUGGGGGCGUGUAAAAGUGUUUAACUUUUUAUUUGGAAAACGGAAUUUGGGGAAAGAAGCCCUCUUGUUUAUUUUGUAGACUGCAUUUCGACUAAAGAAGGUAAAGCUAAACAGGAUCUUGGCUUGUGGAGAUAAGCAGAAGAUAAUUCUGACUUGGGGCCGCCAGGGUGGAAGGGGGUGACAAGACUUCUGCGUUUUUCA
rnacentral:sRNA from 1 species